GCAAGUCGAACGAUGAAGCCUAGCUUGCUAGGUGGAUUAGUGGCGGACGGGUGAGUAACAUAUCGGAACGUAUCCAUUAAUGGGGGAUAACUAGCCGAAAGGUUAGCUAAUACCGCAUACGCCCUGAGGGGGAAAGCUGGGGAUCUUCGGACCUGGCGUUAAUGGAGCGGCCGAUAUCUGAUUAGGUAGUUGGUGGGGUAAAGGCCUACCAAGCCGACGAUCAGUAGCUGGUCUGAGAGGACGAUC
rnacentral:rRNA from 1 species